rnacentral:rRNA from 1 species
AGCCUGAUCAGCCUGCCGCGUGAGUGAAGAAGGCCUUCGGGUUGUAAAGCUCUUUCAGCCGAAAAGAAAAGGUUGCGACUAAUACUUGUGACCAUGACGGUAUCGACAGAAAAACACCGGCUAACUACGUGCCAGCAGCCGCGGUAAU